GAAGAGCAGCUCACUGCAGCUCAUUUGCAACACAAACCAUGUCCCCUGCAUCUCUGCAGAAGGUCCUGGCAGCUGCAUCCUAUGCUCAUUGUGACAUCACACUGACAGAGUCUGCUCCACAGAUGAAGAAGCCUGGAGAUUCCGUGAGGCUCUCCUGCAAAAUUACUGGAUUCUCACUCAGCAGCAACAGUGUGCACUGGGUUCGACAGGCUCCAAACAAAGGGCUGCAAUGGGUCGGAUACUACGUUGAGUCUUCUGACGAUCGUUUCAAAGUUACAGAAGAUUCAUCCAACAGCAUUGCUUACUUAGACAUCACCAAUCUCCAGUCCUCAGACACAGCUGUGUAUUACUGUGCCCGAGAGACACAGUGAAAGAGUUUAAGGCCCAGCUGUACAAAAACCCUCCACAGACGAUUCAGCAGGCAGUGUGUGACUGGCUGUGCUGUGUGGCCUAAAGACAUUAUCUGUUAUUGUUUUUCUCCUGGAUUUCCACCAUAAGGCUUCAUCACA